GAAAAGUGUUUUUUAAGAUCGUUAGAAGCAUCAGGAGCUAAGCAGAAACGGGCCUACCCAGACUGCCGCUUCGGUCGAAAUAACACAGCCUCUGUUCCUCUCCCUCUCACCCCGACCGUCCUCCCGACCGAGAGAGUUGAGCGGCGGCGGCCCGACCUAGAUCCAGCGUCGCCCGGGCGCGCCGCCGGCCUGCCCCGACGAUCCGCCUCGUACGCGCCGGAUCUCCUCUUCCCGCGACCCAACCCGCCAUCUCCUCCGCUGGCCCCAUCCUUCUCCCACGCCCGAAGCCGCCCCGACGAAGAUCCGGAGAGCAGCCAGCCCUCAACCGACCGACGCCCUCCCCUUCUUCCAGCCAGCCAGCGCCCUCCCCUUCCUCUUCUACAACCAGCGCCGCCUCAGCUCCUCUCCGCCCGCCCGACCAACACCACGACACAGCUCCUCUGAUGCUGCUACCUCAUCUUCUCCGCCCGCCCGGAGCCAGCCACGAUACAGAGGGACUGUACGUCACUGCACCUGGGCUAGUUUGCUAAUCACCGGCUGAUUGACUGGAGCUCUGGUAAAAAAAGUUCACUUUGGCAAGCAUGUAUUCUGGUAAAAAAAAAAGUUCACUUUGGCAGAGUUCGUCCUUGCUCACCGGCGAGCAGUCUGGCUCUUGUUCAUGUUUUUUCUUACUGCUGGGUCAAGUUUUCUUAUGGUUGCGAAGAGUGUGCUCUGUGCUGUGUCAAGUUUUCUUCACCCCAAGAAAGUUUGUCCCAGUCAAUCACAACCUCUGAUUUUGUGCUCUUUCGGUUUCAUGCAUGGGAAUUAGCUUAGGUCGAUACAAUAUGCAGCUGUUUGUGCAAUCAAGGGAGUCCGUUGUAUAUUGCAGUGGAAAAAAAAUAACGACCAUAACAUGUAUGGUACUGUAUAACUUUGUGGUUUUGUAUAUAGUUGUGUGAGAUGAGAAAUAAGGAAUAGAUUUCGUUUACGGCAUUGUGUAUUUAACAUUCCAUUAUUCUCAAUUGUUGAAAGUUAAAUUUAUAUGAAAUCAAGCAAUUCAUGCAAAUCUAGCCAAAACACAUAAAGUCAGAUAAAUCUUGUCAAAAUUAUA
rnacentral:lncRNA from 1 species